rnacentral:misc_RNA from 1 species
GAUGAAGAACGCAGCGAAAUGCGAUACGUAAUGUGAAUUGCAGAAUUCAGUGAAUCAUCGAGUCUUUGAACGCACAUUGCGGCCUCUGGUAUUCCGGGGGGCAUGCCUGUCCGAGCGUCAUUGCUGCCCUCAAGCACGGCUUGUGUGUUGGGCCUCCGUCCUCCUCCCGGGGGACGGGCCCGAAAGGCAGCGGCGGCACCGCGUCCGGUCCUCGAGCGUAUGGGGCUUCGUCACCCGCUCUUGUAGGCCCGGCCGGCGCUUGCCGACACAUCAAUCUUUUUUCCAGGUUGACCUCGGAUCAGGUAGGGAUACCCGCUGAACUUAAGCAUAUCAAUAAGCGGAGGA